rnacentral:lncRNA from 1 species
CUAUUUUGUACCAAUACAAUAUAUUAAUUUUACAAAUGUAAAAUUUUAUCCGCUGUUAAAGCAUUUGCAAAAACCACACAUCCUACUUCAGCUUUAUUGCACAAUAUUUGUUUAAAACCAGUCCAAGAUACUUAAUCCAAACUGUAUCAUUCUUCAUUAGAAAUCUAGACGCCACUCAAGGUGGUUUCUUUAAACAGUUGAGGCAUUCUCAGUUGUGAGCAUUCUGAGUGUAUCUUACACAUUAAAAACCAUCCUUCCAACUCCACAGCCAUCUGCAGGGUUUUCUCCUUC